UGGGGCUGUAGAGACUGGCUAGAUUAAAGUAGUCUGGGCCCAUCAAAUAAAGCUCCUUGGGGACAAACGUCCCCCAACCCUUCAGAGAACACUCCCCCUUAGCAUGGGAAGCCAAGGCGGCCAGUGUCUGCAUGCAGCCACCAACAAAGAACACAUCAGGCUCCAGGGCUGGGCUGGGCUGGUGUACUUUACAGAUAAUUACUAAUUUCAGCAAAGCAAGUUUUUAGAAGGAAAAUGUAUACCUAAGUGAUUUCAGUGGAAAGUGCUGGUUAAUGUUAAAACCUCAGGCUCUUCUAAAUUAAUAACAACUGUUGGAGGAACGUAAAGGAGUGCGUGUGAACGUGGCAGUUCAGCUUCCAGACUCUGCUUGGCGGCAGCAGAUGGGGCUCAAGGGAGUGCUGGGGCUUGGGCUGGCUCCAAGGCGGGCCUGAGGCUUGGCCUCCAAGCAGGAGGGAACUGAUUUCCACUGCCUGGGCUAUACUAUCAAAUGAGCAAAAGGAAGGCUCAAAUUAGAUGCUUUCACUGAAAAGUAUCCUUGGUUUUUAAUAACAAAGACAGAAAUGCUGACAUUGGGCAGAGAGCAGGCACUCAAACCCAUGCUUCUGUAAAGCUAAGCUAGGACUGCAUGAGUUCUCCUGCAUUGUAAGUUAAGGUUGCUGCAUUCCCAGCUUCAUCCUUUGCCUGGUCACCUCAACUCCACAACACUGGAGAAUUAGGAAGGAAUUAAAAGCUGACAGCCUGAGUGGACCCCCAAGAACAGCAACCUUAUAUUUAUUAAUACGCGUGCUAUUCUUAAUGACAAGGGCAUAGAAGACUGAGGGGAAGACAGAAGAGUUCUGAAAAAUAAUCAGACUAAAAUAUGCACUGUUCUUGAAGCUAGAGACAGCUAUCGCUAUAUUGGACUUCGUAAGGAAGGACUAAGCAGGCAGGAAGGAGUUAGUUAUGGUCCCUGACUUAGAGUGUGUUCCAUGAAAACCACUAAGACAACAAAAGGCUCAUCAGAAACUAUCCACCCGAUAUGGGAGCUUAGGUCACAUUCUUCCAUCAGUGAAGCCAAGGCCCAGAGAGGAGAAACAACCGGCCAGGCCCUGGAAAGACAUCCUCGGACAUGCUCUGUCUCAUGCACAGGUGCGUUCUGCAUGUCACCAGGGGCUCUGGUGUAUAGAGGACAAUAGAAGCCUGUAUGUGCAGAUGUCACCAGGGACGUUUGUUAUGGAGGUGGCUGUUAGAGAGGCCUCAUACAUACUAACUAGCUGGCUCUUGUGCCUCCACUCUAGGGCCACUGAGGAAUGCUGCAGCCAUGUGUUUACUCAGCUGUGUGCCAUAUGGUAGAAUUUGCAUGAAGAAAAAAAAAACAAAAACACCUAAGUGUUUAUGAUAGACAAAUGGGUGUGUGCGCGCGCGCGUAUGCUGCUCAUUUAAUGUCCAGCCCGGUUUACAUUUGACACUCAGUAUUAUGGCAUUGGCUAGUGGAGUACAGAGGGGCUAUAUUUUAAUGGGCAGGCUGCCUUCUACUAUGCUUCAGCCAUAGUAGCUUAAUACCACAACAUCACCUCCCCUCCACCAAGUUUCCAUAGUAGCCAAUGAACAGGGGAAUCCCAUGGGGGCAGUCUGGAUGUCCACAGACAUUAGUUUAUCUUGACUUCAAAAGAUUAUGCCUGAACAAUUGAAUGUUUUUUUAAAAAUGUCAUAAUUCAAAGUGCAGAAGCACAGCAUAAUAAAAUGACUAGAACAUACAAUUUUAUAUUUCCAAGGAGGUACAAUUGUACCACUUUCUAAUUCCCCAAUGUUUUCAUUACUCCGUAAAGAAACUCUCGGGGUUGGAGAUUUAGCUCAGUGGUAGAGCGCUUGCCUAGCAAGUGCAAGGCCCUGGGUUCGAUCCCCAGCUCCAAAAAAAAAGAAAAGAAAAAAAAAAAAAAAAAGAAACUCUCUGGCCUUUAAAUGUCCCCAACACAGAACUGGCAACCAUUAACAUAUUUUCUGUUACAGAUUUCCUGUUAAUGGAAUUUUAGACAAAUAGAAUUCUGUAAUGAACAUGCUUUUAUUUAGUAUGUUUUCAAGGCCCAUCCAUAUUAUCUUAUAUGAUCAGUUACUAUUAUAUAGAUCACAGUGUAUCUGUUAACUAAUGGAUACAUGGAUUGUUUUUAUCUUGUUUGUUUUUGUUUUCAAGACAGGUUUUGUGUAGCCCUGGUUGUCCUAUGCUGGCCUUGAACUCAGAGAGCUGGGAUUAAGGCUGUCUACCACCAUGCCUGGCUCCACCAUCAUUUAGAGACAAGGUUUUACACUAGCUCUGUUUGGCCUGGAACUAAGCAGUUUGUAGAGCAAGAUGGCCUUGAACUCAGAGACUGGCCUGCCUCUGCACCACAGGGGCUGAAAUUAAAGGAGUUUAUUGUUAGUUCAAAGUGUGUGUACUCAUAUGUACAUAUGUGGGUACCUAUGAAGGCAAUGAUGUUGGACCCCUGGAGCUGAAGUUACAGGUAGUGGUAAGCCACGUGAUAUGAGUGCUAGGAACCAAACUUGAGUCCUGUCUAAGAGCACAGAGCACUACACAGUGAGUAGUAACUGGGACUUGGUGAUUCCCAUUUAGUUAGCUAGCAGCAAGCUCCAGAGACCCUCUUACUUGUUCCUCAGUGCUGGGAUUACAAGUAUGCACUACCACAUAUGCACAGCUUUAAGAUUUAUAAUGUAUGUCUGUGUACCCAUGUGUGCCUGAUGACUGUAGGUCAGGAGAGGGCCCCAGACCCUGGAACUAGGGCUGCACAUGCAGAUGGUGGUUAGCUGCCAUGUGCGAGCCAUAUGGUCAAAACUCUUCCUGACUUUUCAGGGACCAAUGCCAGGACAACCGGGCAUCUUCAUAUAAGGAACCCUGGGGCUAUAGUAGCACAUGCCUUUAAUCCUGCACUAGGAAGGCAGAGCUCUGAUUCUGGGCCAGCUUGGUCUACAGAGCAAGUUCCAGGACAGCCAGGGCUACACAGAGAAACCCUGUCUCAUUCCUCCUCUCCCAAACGGAAUCUCAGUCCUUGUCUCACACCACACAUAAGGUUAAACUAACAGGUGGUCCAGAAGUAUGACAUAAAGAGUGAAACUCUGGGCCUAAAAUGCCACAGUAGAAAACCUCUGCAUCCUACAUUAGUCAAAGAUUUAUCAGAUACAAAGUGAAAAGCAGCGACUGUAGGAGAGGAAUAAAUCGUCUCUUUGGUAAACUGGUUUCUUCAUCAUUGAAAACUUUUUUUUUUUCCCCCGGAGCUGGGGACCGAACCCAGGGCCUUGUGCUUCCUAGGCAAGCGCUCUACCACUGAGCUAAAUCCCCAACCCCAUCAUUGAAAACUCUUAAAGGCCAUUGUAAAGACGCUGGGAAGCCUUACACUGAGUGAUGUAGAAUAUGUAAAGAACAUGUAUAGCUAACAGAUCAACAGCUGAUGAGUUGAUGUACACCUAUAAGCUCAGCCUUUCUAUUCCAUGGAGGCUGAGGCAGGCAGAUUAAAGGUUCAGUGCCAGCCUGGAAUGGCCCUGUCUCAAAACAAGACAAUUCGCAUUUAAAUGACUAACAAAGGAUAAAGACAAAUAAUAUGUCAAGUAAAGGAACAUCCCUAGCUAAAGUAGAAACUUGAGGGUUCUUUGGAAAGUCGGUUGGAUGGUGUUUUGGUGGGGCAGACUCGUGAAGGAACGUUUCACUGAAGCAGACACACAGAGGAUGCUUUGCUAAAGCAAUAACGUGAAAGGACACGUGAUGGAGGAUUCUUCGCUAAUGGCAUCAUGUACUGGUCCACCUUACAUGAUGUAGCUGAGCUGCAUUUGUUGGGACUCCAUAGACAGAAGUGCCCCAAAAAACCUUCUCGUGUGUGCUGCACUUCUUGGCACUUCUAAGGACUCAGGCUGAUUGGAUGCACGUGCUGAGGCAAAACCCGUGCCGAGGCAAAACCCGUGCCGAGGCAAUGCACAUGGAGGACACGUGAUGUUUGGAGGGUAUAAAUAGGACUCCACAGAGUGAUAGAGACAGGGCUUGGCUUGCUGGUGCAGUUAGCUGUGCAAUGAUUGUAGGUUUCCAGUCUUUAUUGAUCUCUGCUCCCCUGAGAGGAGCACAGCUGAGAACUUCUCCUGGUGUUCCUGUUGGUCCCUCCUGCUGACUGGAGCAGAGGCCGAGGCCUGGCUGUCUCUGCUAGGUCAUGUCUCUGCUAUUGCUAUCCUGACUCUACUGAACUGGACUGCUGGUGCGUCUGUGAGGUGUUUGCAGUGGACCGAGCUGCUGCUGCCUGCUGGCCUGUGAACUGAACUGCUGAUUUCUAGACAACACAGAUGGGAACUGCUCCAGAGAACCUUUCUAAACAGACAUCAAUACAAGCCCUGUAUCACAUCUUGAUGGAUUAGGUGCAGGAAUUGGCGCCUCCGGCUCAUUCUGGUUCCAACACCACACCCACAGACGUCGGCAACCACUGUGAGCACUGACAGAAGAAGCUUUGUUUCUGAUGUGCUCUCUGCAUCGGGGGCUACCUCUCUACCUGUCCUCCUAACUGUAGUAGCAUCAGUCCCUUGCUUUCUCUGUGACAUGUAGCAUGCUAGGGUCACUGUCUACCAUGAAUCUCAUUGUCCCCACCUGUCACAACCUGCUCCUUAGUUCUUGCAGGUUUCUGUCAAGGUGGGGUGUGUGGAGGGAAACACAGGAGAGGGAGAAACGAGCUGAAAAUUGUGGCUCAUGUUGCACACCCUGGCCCUGUUGUGGAAAGAAACCAUCUCCAAGGAGCCAAUAGGAUUGUAACCAAGGUAGAGUUUUUACAAUAUUGUUACUUAGUUUAUACUCUGAGUGGAAAGAAUAAGAGAAGGCACACAGGGACAGGCACCAACAGCCACCUCUCCACCUAUCUGUGCACACAGAUGCCACAAACAAACAUGUGUUAUCUUUGGUGCACACCUCAGGAUAACUCUCCAUGCUGAUGACCAUUUCCCACACACCACAGUGCUUCUGCUCUGAGGUCAUAAAGGCUCUCCUGGAGAGGCAAUUAAAGAGUUAAAAGUGUUAACUUUAACUAAAAAAAACUCUAAACACUAAAAGAGUGGACUCAGUGUAGCAUCUAUCUGCCAGGGGCUCAUCUGACUCAGGCCUAAGGAAAGGUUGGCAGGUACCAUGAUCCUUUCAGUCAGUGAGACAAGUGAAUCAGGCUCACACUCUCAUGACUUUCAGUGAAGGGUUAGCCAUUCUAGAGCAAUUUGGAGAAGAAAUCAUAUCAUCACAAUCUUCUGAACUGACAGAAACACCCCCUCCAGCAUCAGAAGCCCAUUUUGGAAAAUUUCAGAGUAGCAGAACCACUAGAAGGAAAGCACAACAUACCAUCCAACUCAAACGCUGACCUCUGUGACCUCUGUCAGAAUGGACAGCCAGUGACAGCCUGUAAGCCCUUUAACUAUAUAGAGAAUGGAAGGAUUGACUAUCUGUGGACUUUUAAGUUACUGUCUCUCUGUUUUUUCAAGUAAACACUCCUUGAACAACACAAAUAGAGCUGAAUGUAGUAGCUGUGUUGCCAGGGCACAUCCUGCAAACCAUAUUAUACUGACUUUCCUGGACUUGGUCCCGUGACCUGAGAUACAAAACACUGGCCUACCCAUGAGGUCUGCUCUAAGUCUUCUGGGUUGUAAGAACAAUGGGUACAGUUCUAUACUGGCUCAGGAAAUGCUAGCACCUCACUCAUCUGACUCUUAACAGAGGUUCCACAUCAUCAGUAGAGGAAGUUAGGCGUUGAGAGAGAGAGAGAGUGAGAGAGAGAGAGAGAGCUGCUCAGGACUAUUGCUGGAAUCAUCCCUACAAAUAACUGGGAUCAGCCAAGGGGGUCAUGAUAAAUACUGCUUAUCCAGAGGGAGCUCACGAACAUAUGCUAAACGUUGCUCAGAGAAGCAAACAGCUGGAACAUUCACUGUUCUAAGCUCAUGUGGGCCAUGAACCCAGGGAAGCCACAACGUCUGCAGUACCAAUGGUCAUGAGCAAAACCACAAAGCUCUAGAACAGCUCUGCUCAGCCUGGGUGUGAUCUGUGGUCAUCUAACCCUGCAGAUGGCUCAGAACCUUACUGUGGAUUGUUGCCAAAUAUUUUCCAAGUGCAGAGCCCAAAGGGUGGGCCCCACUCUUACUUUCCUGGUCUCCUCUCCUUUAUGUAUCUCCUGUAUAUAUAGAUUUCAGAAGAACUAAGGGCGGGGGGGCUUAAAUUUGUAAGAGACCUACCAUAUUUGAAUUAUGUUGCAACAACAUUUUUAUUUAUUUUAUGUAUAUGAGUACACUGUCACUCUCUUCAGACUCACCAGAAGAGGGCAUUUGAUCGCAUUACAGAUGGCUGUGAGCCACCAUGUAGUUGUCAGGAAUUGAACUCAGGACCUUUUUGGAAGAGCAGUCGGUGCUCUUAACUGCUGGCCCAACUCUCCAGCCCAGAGGCAACAACAUUUUUAAACUGAAGACUUAGGGACUUUUAGUAAGAAACAAGAAAGCCAGCAUGGAUAACCAGCUCAUGUGACACUAAGGCAAAGGAAUCAGAGUAAAGGCCAAUCCUAUGCAAACAGAAAGAUUAUAGACUGCAGGCCACAUCCUAUGCCCUCCUGGUUUUGUAUGGCUUCUGGGCCAAGGACUUCUGAAAACAGUCAAAGUCCUUGAAGACAUAUGAAAAUAACAUGGAAGUCGGCCAUGGGGGUACAUAGUGACACCUCAUUGGCACAGCUACACCCAUUCACUGAGGUUCAGAGUCUGUUUUGGUGGUGGAGCCCAAAAGGUGGGUAUCACACAGAUCUUGUGGAAAAGCACUUCUAGUCUCUUUCCUUUGUAAUUGCAAGACAAACCUCUGGUCCUAUCUGGUAAGAGUAUAUCUCAUGUUGUACGAUUUCCUACGUGAAACCUAUAAAACCAGAAAACUGCCUUUGUUCUAAAGAAAACUGAAGGGCCUCUCUCUCCAUUUCAGCUCCUCUUUCCUAAUGUAGUUCCUGUCAGGGCUCUGGAAGGAAGGCCUUCUCUCCCUUCAAGGCUACAUCAAGCUAUCUCUUUCAGUAAUUGCUUUCCUACCCAAAGGACUGAUUAUGGAUCCAAGUUGAUCACAAAACUCUCCUUAACAAACUCAUUCUGAUGGGUAAGGUUUUUGUUUGCUUUUAGCUUCUUUUCUGAGCCUGCUGCUUUAUUUAAUUAAUUUUUGAGACAGGGUUUUUCUGUGUAGCCCUGGUUGUUCUAGAACUUGCUCUGUAGACCAGGCUGGCCUCAAACUCACAGAUCUGCUUGCCUCUGCUUCUAAGUGCUGGGAUCAAAGGUGUGAGCCACCACUGUGCACUGGGUUAAGCUAAAUCUUUUUACCGUCAUUUGUUUUUUUUUUUUUUUUUUUUUUUGGUUCUUUUUUUCGGAGCUGGGGACCGAACCCAGGGCCUUGCGCUUCCUAGGUAAGCGCUCUACCACUGAGCUAAAUCCCCAGCCCCUUUACCGUCAUUUGUAACACAAUUCCCUGCUGUGCUUGUGAUGGACUCUGAUGUUGGAGGAGACCAUGAGAAGCAAGAACAUUUCUAUUGGGAACUGUAAUGGCCUUCAUAAAGCUCUGCUCUAUACUCUUCGUCUAGUGCCACCCACUGAUAUGUAAUAUUACUAUGACACCAACCUUGCAGGCCUGGACUUAGGGCCUGCAGAGAUAACUUCCUGUUAAGAGCACUUGCUGUACUUGUAAAUGACCUGGAUUUGGUUUCCAGCACCCACAUGGUCAUCCCAGUUCCAGAGAAUCCAAUGCCCUCUUCUGGCUUCUGGGGAUACCAGGCACAUGUGUGGUAGGGGCAUAGACAGAGAUAGAUGUACACUGUGGUGGUUUGAAUAUGCUUGGUCCAGGGAGUGGCAUGGGCUUGUUGGAGGAAGUGUGCCACUUUGGGGGUGGGCUUUGAGACCCUCCCCCAGCUGCCUAGAAGCCAGUCUUAUUGUUGUUUUGCUUUUGGAACAAGAGGUAGAACUUUCUGCUCUUUCAAUUCCAUAGCUACCUGGGUGCUGCCAUGUUUCUUGCCAUAGUGAUACUGGACUGAACCUCAGAACCUGUAAGCCAGCCACAAUUAAAUGUUGUCCUUUAUAGGAACUGCCUUGGUCAUGUCUCUUUACAGCAAUGGAAACCCCCAACUAAGGCAGAAGUUGGUAUCAGGAGUGAGGCAUUGCUGUGAUAGGCCUGAACAUAGUUUUGUUCGGAGGAAUGUGGAUUGAGACUUUGGAUUUGGAAAGCCAGUGGAAUGCUUUAAGUGGGGCCAUCCUAGUAGGAAUGUGGAAGACAUUGUGUGUAGAAGGUAAUUUGAACGGUGGGGGGCCUGGCUCAAGAGCUUCAAUAUAUGACUUAGAGACUGUUCUUGUGAUAUUUUGGUGAUGAAUGUGACUGCUUUUUGCCCUUGUCUGUAGAGUCUACCUGAGGCUAAGGUAAACAGAUUUAUAUUAAUUGCAUUGACAAGGAAGUCUCAAAAAAAAAAAAAAAGCCUAACAGAAACUUUGUUCUCUGGUUAAGUCUCAUGAAGAGCAUUUUGAACAAGCAUAGCAAGCUUAGAAAGGAAAGAUAUAAAAAUGUGUGGUUCAAGUAAUAAAGGGGCACCAGGAAGGGAAAUGGAGCCGAAUCCUGUGUUCAAGGAUUAAGGGAGUGGUGGCUUUGUGGCAAGAUCCCACCCAGCUAAGAUUAUUGUUUAUGUGUUUGUCAUUGGACAAGAAAAAGCUAGUUAUAUCAUAAUAGGUGUUAUUGUUACUUGGUUAUUGUCUUCACUUGAACUUUUAACCUGGAACCAAUCUAGAAAUGAAAGAUGCAGGCUUUUGUUCUGGAACUUGAGGCUUAGUGGCCAUGAAAAGCUCAGGCAAGGUGGUGUGCAUCUUUAAUUUCAGAAGAUAGAAGCAAGCAGAUCUCUGGGCUCAAGGCCAGCCUGGUACAGAACACAUUCUUAGUAGAGAAAAGCUUAAGUCCAAGUGUGGUGGACCACACCUUUAAUCCUGGCACUUAGGAGACAGGCAUGCAGAUCUCUGAGUUCGAGAUCAAUCAACAGAACAAGUUCCAGAACAGCCAAGCUUAGGCUGGGGGGUUGGAAAGCAGAAAGCUGGUGAUAAUGUAAUAGAACAAGGGGGCCGUCCAGCUCUAGCAAACAGCAGAACUUAACAGCUUCUGCCAUGUGGCUCUGGCUUUAGAGUCCAGAACAGAAGGGAUAACUGGGACAAUGGAUGCUGGUCAGCUGGAGCUAAGAGAUUAGCAGCGAUUAAGAAGAGACCAACAUCACUGAGGUGAAGUCUUCUGUGAAGUGUUUUCUGAGAGCACAGAGAGGCUGUGUUCCAGAGAUAGCCAAGGUUGCACCUCAUUGCUGUGACUGGACUUGGUAAUGUGUAAGAAUCACCCAGGUUAUACUGGUUUUGAAGGCAUGAAGGGGUCACGAGGAGCAGCUGAGGCUGGGCACUGUGAGAGGCCAGAGAAGGCCAUUGGUGAAGGUGCAGCCUCAGCUGUAGUUGAUGGCCCAGGACUUAAGGGAUCACACAAAGAAAUUAAGGCUUGGCACCAUGAAGGGAGCCUGUGAGAAGCUAUUGGUGGAACCUAGUUGUAGAAAAAGACUCCACAGAAUUGGAGAUGCCAGUAUCAUGGGAUGAUCACUAAGAAUAGCAGCAGCAGUGGUGUCAACCAGAAUCUAGAGCGCUAUAGAGCGCAGAGCUGGAGAAGUGACCCAAGCCCUUUUGAGAAGCCCAGGAGAUCAUGUGUAGAUCCCAGACAGAGCCGUGGGAUCUCUCCUGAGGAAAACUGCUAGCAGGGAGUGGAACCAACACAAGAGAAAGAACUGUGCUGGGGUUGGGGAUUUAGCUCAGUGGUAGAGCGCUUGCCUAGCAAGCGCAAGGCCCUGGGUUCAGUCCCCAGCUCUGAAAAAAAGAAGAAAAGAAAAAAAAAAAAAGAAUUGUGCUACAGUCAACAAAGCUGAAAGGAGUUGGACAUCAGACAUGAAGAUUCAGAGUUUAAGGUUUGCCAAGCUGGUUUUUGGUCUAGUAUUUCCUCACUAUGAUGUCUUAGAAUGAUAACUAUAAUCUCCUAUAAAAUCAAAAUCAAAAAGCAGAUCACAUACCUCCAACAUCACAGGCUGUAUGUUAAGUGACUGGAUGAGUAUCAGAAGAUACUUUGAGCUUUUAACAUUGUUGAGACUGUUAUAGACCAUGGGACUUUUGAAGUUGGACUAAAUGUAUUUUGCCUUAUGCUAUGGCUAGGUAUGGCCCUCACAGACUCAUGUCUUUGAACAAGCAUGUGGGGGCUAGGGAGUGGAAUGUGGUGGUUUGAAUAUGCUUGGUACAGUGAGUGGCCCUAUUAGGAAGUGGGGACUUGUUGGAGGAAGUGUGUCACUUUGAGGGUAGGCAUUGGGGCCCUCCUUCUAGCUGCCUUGAAGCAAGUCUUCUGUUUGCUUUUGGAACAAGAUGUUGAACUCUCAGCUCCUCUAGUUACAUGUCCGCUUGGACACUGUCAUGCUUCCUGCCAUGAUGAUAAUGGACUGAUCCUCAGAACCUGUAAGCCAGCCCCAAUUAAAUGUCGUCCUUUAUAGGAGUUGCCUUGGUCAUGGUGCCUCUUCACAGCAAUGGAGACCCUAAUUAAGACACAUGCAAACACUCAUACAUAUAAACAUAAACAAACAAACAAAUAAAUAAAGCCUCAGGGCUAGAGAGAAAGCUGGGUGGUUUAAAGCCUCAGGGCUGGAGAGCUUGGUGGUUUAAAGCUCUUGUUGCUCUUGCAGAGCGCACAGGUUUGAUUUCCAGCAUCUACAUGGUGGCUCACGGUGAUCUGUACCUAUUGUUCUAGGGGAUUCAACACCCUUUCUGACCUCUGCAGGCACCAGGCACAUAUACAUAAAUAGAGCCAAAAUAUUCUCCCACAUAAUAAAAAUUAAAAAGAGCCUAGAUCUAGUAAAGGUAUUCUUUAUCCUUUGCUUUUUAUUAAAAAAAAACAUUAUCUAUGCAGAGGAAAGUUAUGAAAAAAGAAAGGCAUUCUGGAUUUAGAGACUAGAAACAUCUUGUCUUUUUAUAUCUUCCCCACAAAGGCAGACCAUCGUGCUGAGAAGAUGGGGGCAGGAAGACCAUUUCUGCUUCUUACAGUGACUUUGAACUUCUACCUGUCCUGCUUCCAUUUUUCAUCUGACGGUGCUUUCCCUGGUCUCAAGGAGAUGCCAUCUCCCCUGCAUCCUAGUCCCCGAGAGUUUACUGGUGCCUUCCCUUCUACUUGCCUCUGCCUUCAAUAAAUUUUGUAUUACCUCGAGAGCUGAUGAUUAAGACAAAAGAAAACAGGCCUCCUGAGAGAAGGGUCAGAUAGGAGGGCAGCUGUGAUCAUAGAACAGGUAACAGGUAGAAGGACUUUACCUUGUGUACAGCAGGUUGAGUGCUCCAAGAGCUUUUGUCUAACAUCAUGGAAUGAUGUUAUAAGGUGGAGACGUAAAAUUAUGCCUAUUUUUAAAUUAAGAAAACCAUGGCUCACAUAUAUAUGUGCUGAUGUCUUAGUGCCCCAGAGCCAGGAUGGAAACGGCAGUUUGAGGUGGGCUCUGAUCCAGCUUAGUUGCCAAAUUGAGUGCAGGAGACAAAAUGGGAGACUGCCACAGAAGCUCCAGGGACCUCCUGAGUUCCUUCCAAGGCCUUUCGUUACUGUUUUCUUAUAUAUUUCCCCAGAAGUUUUACAUAACAGAAGGAUUAUGAAGACUGUGCAUGGCUUAUGUAUAAAACCUUACUGCAGUAUUUACAUUAGUAUAGAUGACUGUUGUUAAAACCAGCGUCAACAUUAUAACAAGUCCUUACCAUGUUCAGAUCUCUUCGUUUUUACUACUAGGAGUCCAUGAGGACAUGUUUGAAACUUCUGAGAAAAGGGUCCAGUUUACUCUUGCAUCUCUACUUUCCAUUUCUCUACAAAACAUCAUUACCAUUCAUAUUGCAAUGAAAUAACUCUUGAAUUAGAGGAAAUGAUGAGGAUGUAAAGAGAAAAUCUUUGCCUGUUCUAAAAUGGAGUUGUUUUCCUAAAGUACCACAAGUAAAAUACUGAAAAAAAUCUGGACAAAUUAAUUCAAAAUGAUGUAACAGAGUGUCUGGUGUGUGUGUGUGUGUGUGUGUGUGUGUGUGUGUGUGUGUGUGUGUGUCUACACUUUGGGAAACUAUCAGACAACAUAUACUCAAGCUAACAGAUAUAUACCCCAUGAUUCAUUAAUUCCAAACCAAAACUGUACCCGUCCUCACAAACUCACAGCAAUACUAUUUAUUACAGCUGAGACUGGGCAGGACCUAAGAACAGGGUGGUAGAUCCUUUGUGAAUUCCAUACAGUGAUACGACAAAAGAUUUGUGGUCAUACACACAUCCCUCCCUCUGCCUGUUCUACCCAUGCAGGUCUACAUUAGGCUGGGCUCUCCAGCAACCAGCAGAGUGCUUGCCUAGUAACAAGGACUGGAAAGAGGAAAGGGUUUCUGGAGACUGUUCCGAUUCCUGAUUUGGGUGGUGGUUAUACUACAAACUCCUUUUGUGAAAAACUAUUAAACUGUGUAUUUAUGAUGUAUGUCCUUUUCUUUGUCUUAUUUUACCAAAGGUAAAAAGACAAAAGACAGCAUGUGUGACCUCAUGAGGCAUAAAAUUUGAUGAGAAAAGCAGACAAUGAGCAAAGAAAUCUCUUAAGCACAGGACUACUGAGGGUCUGGGACGCUGCUGCAGGAGCAGCCACCACGUCUCAUCUGAGCUGUGGGUAUCAGAGCUGGGCACGUUGGUCAGUAAGUUUUAUAGCUUAUAUAAAUUGUGCUCUGAAUGACGUGUUCAGAGUCCUUUCCACUCUUUUGGGAUUUAAAUAUAUAAAAAGAAGUUACCUGAAAAUAUGGAGCCCACCUUUUGGCUCAUUUACACAUAACACAAGUGUUCCAUAUUUCUUUAUCUUGAGUUAUGGUCACAUGCUGUGGUUCAACUGGCAUUGCAUUGCAUUUUGACAUAAAUGGGGAAGGGCUACAGCUUAGAUACCUUUGUCACAUAAAGAUUUUAGUUGUAAACAUUUGUUUUAAAUAUUUUUUAGCUUCUAUUUGUCUUUUAAAACCUUUCUCUAUUAUCAAUUCAACAUAGGUCAAUUAAAAGGAAAUAACAUAUUAAAAAAUAAUUCAGUUAGCAUGUAGGGUUAAAUAAACUUGCAGUAACAGUAAUUUCCAGAGGUUGAAGCUGACCAGGGAACUGAAGGGACUGUGCAGCACUUAGCUGUGUUUGGAAACAGCCGCAGUAUCUGAGGGCUGGGCGGGAUAAGGGCCCUGGAGGCCUGGAGGCUUGCAUAACAACCACUGUUUAUGCAGCCCUGGCCAGCAGCAGAAUGGAAACAGAGCGUGUGGGCCAAGACAGUCAAGCUGCUGGGAUUUUUUCCCCUUAAAGACCGAAUAACCAAAAGACAGAUUUUAAUUUUUUUAAAUAAAGUUAUACUUCAGUGGCAAAUAAAUUGGAAACCUAUGUUUUAAAAAUCAAGCACCUUUAACGCAAUUCUUGAUUACAUAUGUAUACCAGGAUAAGAUUCCUUAUUUACAAGUUCUGAAGACUAAGUAGAUAUAUUUUACUGCUUUUUACCAUACAGGAAAAUACACAGAGAGGAGAAACUAAAGUUGGAGUCUGAAGACGAAAGAAAAAGUGUUUAGAACAAGCAGUUACAGUUAUGUUAGCAGAGUCAGAACCUCUGGGAACCUCGGCAGACGACACCUUACUCAGCACCUCCUUAGAAUGUCCAGUCACUACCCGAAGUUCUCCCAGGGGCAUCUGCAAACGGACUUGGGUCUUUUGUGCCCUACAGGAUGAGAUAAUGAUGUUCUCAUAGCAUGCAUGGUAACAGAUGGACAUGAGAAAUCACUUACCUAGUUACAGCUCAUAGCAAUGAAGGACUCAAGCACAGCAAGGCCUCCUGAGGCCUGCACGUUCUUAAAGUGUUGCUCACUUGUGGGGAAUGUGAAGGUGGGGGAGGGGUGGUGAUGGUGAUACCGGUGGUUUGUGUUUGUCAGAUAAAUAUACUAUUUAAAACUUAUUGGGGUUGGGGAUUUAGCUCAGUGGUAGAGUGCUUGCCUAGCAAGCGCAAGGCCCUAGGUUCGGUCCCCAGCUCUGAAAAAAAGAAAAAGGAAAAAAAAAACUUAUUAAGACCCCACAAUUAAAAGCUAGUGUAGCCACCCAGACAUGGUGGCACAUGCCUGUAAUUCUUCUUGGGAGGCUGAGUUAGGAGGACUGUUCUCCACGUUGAAUUGCAGGACAGCUAGAGCUGUAUAGUGAGACUCAGAAAGCUGCUACAGCUGAGGGGAGUUAGGGGGCAGAUCAGGUUCUGCACUACUCCUUUGGGGACCCAUCAAAGCAGGUCAGAAUAUAAAACAUAGCAUUGGAAAGAUGUUCACAUCUGUCUCCUAACUCCAGCAAGCUGCAUCAAGAGCAUGGGCUGCAUCAAGAGCAUGGGCUGCAUCAAGAGCAUGGGCUGCAUCAAGAGCAUGGGCAAGAAGACAUGCAGGCAGGAGGGACCUCCAUGACUUCCUCUGAAGUCAGUAGCUCUCUCUCCAUUCAGUGUUCCUCAGCUGCUGCAAGUCUCAGAUUUGAUCCCAGGUCUCAGCAGGGUUUAACCUGUCGAAUUUGGCAGUUUAUGGUGAUUUCAGGAGAGAAAGUGAUCUGGGGGUGGCCUACUCUGCCAUUUUCUGUGACACUGCAAUAGUUUAUAAUGUUCAUAAGCAAUAAACAUGAAUUCGUCAUGCAGCUCAGCAAUUCCACCCCUAGGAACUUAACUAUGAAAAAAAAAAAACAAAGCAUAUCUGUAUAUAAGAAUGUUCAUGGUAGAUUUAUUCUUUUCAGGCAACUUAAAAUAACCCAAGUUCACUAAACUGGUGAGUGCUUAGACAGGUAAAGCCAGAAUUCUACUGGUCAAUGAAAAGAAACCAAGUGCCCAUACCCACUACGAUAUGGACAAACCCCAGACACAACUCCAAGUAAAAGAAGCUAGACGCAGAAAUCAAUGUUGUUGCUUCAUGUACAUCAGAUGCCCAGCAAAGACUGCCCACAGCAGUAGAAAGACGUCAGAGGCUUCCUUUGGUGGUUGUUGUGAUUAGGGUUUCCUCAAGUUUAUCUUGCAGUUUUCUUAUUUAACUAUCCUUAAACUGUUGUGUGACUAAUUUCUGUCUUAAUUUUUAAAAUUUGAAUUACCUUUUAAAAUACGCAGAUAUCAAUGCUUCUCUAAUUAUGAAAAAACAAAAUACCACUUUCCUAAAACUUUUCUGCUUAUUAUAAUCACUUUGACAACUUUAUUUGUAACUUUAUCUAGAUUCUCCAUAAUUUUCACUUAAUAGAGGCUUAUUUUUUCAAGUAACAAAAAAUUCUUUCAUGUGUUCCUUUCUAGUAGUGCCAUUUUUUCCUAUGAAAUUUUUGUUGAAUUUGUGAACUUCAUGACUGCAACUGACUUAUAGAUGAAAAGGCUAAAGGAAAUCAAGCCGAAGGGAGUUUAGUUGAAUUGGUAAAGAGCAUGAGUAGAGGCUGGAGAGGUGGCUGGCUCAACAGUGAAGGGCAUAGUAGCCCGGGCCCACAAGCUUGUAGACCUGAGUGUGGCCCCCGUCUCCAUAUAACAAGCUGGAUAUGGUCUUUAGUGCCUGCCUGCAACUCCACUGCCAUGUGAGGAAGACAUGGAGCUCACUGGGGCUGCCUGGCUGACAGCAAAACCAAAAACCAUGAUCUCUAGACUUGGGAAAGAUUUUAUUUCAAAGGAAUAUGGCAAAAAGUGAUAGAGGAGGGCUGCCUUCCUGGUCUCUGUAUGUGCCUCCAGGCACAAAUACACACAUUUCCAGGGUCCUGUUCAGGCAAAAUGGCCAUCAACACAGAUCAUAAGCAUCUGAAUGGCACCUCAUGAAGUAGGUGGGGCUGAUACUGGUUGUGGUGGAGCAGGCAUAGGCCCUGAGACAGUUUGAAGUAGAAGCAGCUACAGUGAUGUGAUCAGUCCCUGAUUCACAUCUGACCCAGCAUGAAACCAUCACAGGGCUUAUGAGGGGUCAAGAUGACAAACUAAGAAGGCACCAGGUGCAAGACAGCUCUUGGUCACAGCCAAGUGCUCGGCCAUGGCUAAUGCUCCCCUCCUGGAGUAAGGAAGCUAUUUUCAGCAUGUAAACAUUUAAAAUUCACUUCUGUUCUGAAUUAUACACACCAAAUGGCAUACCACCAUAAAAAGAUGAUGGCACAGUUCCUGCAGCUCAUAUGCUGGUGAUUUCAUAGUGAAAAUAUUGUUUGUUUCACUAAAGCCUGCUUGAAAUUAGUCACUUUAAAUGCAAACACAACUAUUAACCAGUGCAGAGUAAAUAUGCUAUAACUAAUUAACUAGUGCAAACAGUAAAUAUGCUAUAGCCAAUGCUUUUAAACUACCCUCCAAAGAAAAAGCACCUCUAUAAUUUCA